UCCCCAAUAGCUCAGUCGGUAGAGCAGGUGACUGUUAAUCACCGGGUCCGUGGUUCGAGUCCGCGUUGGGGAGCCA
rnacentral:tRNA from 1 species